UGGUUCAGACGUUUUGAACAAGUUUUCCUCAUGAACUCUUGUUGUGUGACUGGCAGUGAUGCAUAUCAAUCAAAAUAAUUUGAGACUUUUUUUUUUUCCUUUUACAGUGAAUGGGAAGAUGUCCAUUAAACAUAAGUGAAUGUAGGAUCCAGUUCCAGGCUUUAAAAUGGAAAUGACUGAGGUUUUUCUGGGUUAAUGACAACUUCUGUCUCAAAUGCAACUGCCAUGAAAGGAAAGAGGUUCCUUUUGCAGGGUCUAGCGCUCGUUGCAAGG
rnacentral:lncRNA from 1 species